AUUGAACGCUGGCGGCAUGCCUUACACAUGCAAGUCGAACGGCAGCACGGGUGCUUGCACCUGGUGGCGAGUGGCGAACGGGUGAGUAAUACAUCGGAACAUGUCCUGUAGUGGGGGAUAGCCCGGCGAAAGCCGGAUUAAUACCGCAUACGAUCUACGGAUGAAAGCGGGGGACCUUCGGGCCUCGCGCUAUAGGGUUGGCCGAUGGCUGAUUAGCUAGUUGGUGGGGUAAAGGCCUACCAAGGCGUCGAUCAGUAGCUGGUCUGAGAGGACGACCAGCCACACUGGGACUGAGACACGGCCCAGACUCCUACGGGAGGCAGCAGUGGGGAAUUUUGGACAAUGGGCGAAAGCCUGAUCCAGCAAUGCCGCGUGUGUGAAGAAGGCCUUCGGGUUGUAAAGCACUUUUGUCCGGAAAGAAAUCCUUGGCCCUAAUACGGUCGGGGGAUGACGGUACCGGAAGAAUAAGCACCGGCUAACUACGUG
rnacentral:rRNA from 1 species